CCUACGGGUGGCAGCAGUGGGGAAUAUUGCACAAUGGGGGAAACCCUGAUGCAGCAACGCCGCGUGCGUGAAGACGUACCUCGGUAUGUAACGCUCUAUCAGCAGGGAAGAAGAAAGACGGUACCUGACCAAGUAGCCUCGGCUAACUACGUGCCAGCAGCCGCGGUAAUACGUAGGGGGCAAGCGUUAUUCGGAUUUACUGGGUGUAAAGGGAGCGUAGACGGCUGUGCAAGUCAGAAGUGAAAGCCCGUGGCUCAACCGCGGAACUGCAUGGGAAACUGGAUAGCUUGAGUACUGGAGAGGCAGGCGGAAUUCCUGGUGUAGCGGUGAAAUGCGUAGAUAUUAGGAGGAACACCAGUGGCGAAGGCGGCCUGCUGGACAGAAACUGACGUUGAGGCUCGAAAGCGUGGGGAGCAAACAGGAUUAGAUACCCUUGUAGUC
rnacentral:rRNA from 1 species